rnacentral:rRNA from 1 species
UACGUAGGGGGCUAGCGUUGUCCGGAAUCAUUGGGCGUAAAGAGCGUGUAGGCGGCCCGGUAAGUCCGCUGUGAAAGUCGGGGGCUCAACCCUCGAAUGCCGGUGGAUACUGUCGGGCUAGAGUGCGGAAGAGGCGAGUGGAAUUCCUGGUGUAGCGGUGGAAUGCGCAGAUAUCAGGAGGAACACCCGUGGCGAAGGCGGCUCUCUGGACAGAAACUGACGCUGAGGCACGAAAGCUAGGGGAGCAAACAGG